rnacentral:rRNA from 1 species
UACGUAGGGUGCAAGCGUUGUCCGGAAUUAUUGGGCGUAAAGAGCUCGUAGGCGGUUUGUCGCGUCUGCUGUGAAAACUCGGGGCUUAACCCCGGGCCUGCAGUGGGUACGGGCAGACUAGAGUGCGGUAGGGGAGACUGGAAUUCCCGGUGUAGUGGUGAAAUGCGUAGAGAUCGGGAGGAACACCCGUGGCGAAGGCGGCCACCUGGGCCGACCCUGGACGCUGAGGAGCGAAAGCAUGGGGAGCGAACAGG